CACAAGCGGCGGAGCAUGUGGAUUAAUUCGAUGCAACGCGAAGAACCUUACCUGGGUUUGACAUAUACCGGAAAGCUGCAGAGAUGUGGCCCCCCUUGUGGUCGGGUAUACAGGUGGUGCAUGGCUGUCGUCAGCUCGUGUCGUGAGAUGUGGGUUAAGUCCCGCAACGAGCGCAACCCUAUCUUAUGUUGCCAGCACGUUAUGGUGGGGACUCGUAAGAGACUGCCGGGGUCAACUCGGAGGAAGGUGGGGACGACGUCAAGUCAUCAUGCCCCUUAUGUCCAGGGCUUCACACAUGCUACAAUGGCCAGUACAGAGGGCUGCGAGACCGUGAGGUGGAGCGAAUCCCUUAAAGCUGGUCUCAGUUCGGAUCGGGGUCUGCAACUCGACCCCGUGAAGUCGGAGUCGCUAGUAAUCGCAGAUCAGCAACGCUGCGGUGAAUACGUUCCCGGGCCUU
rnacentral:rRNA from 1 species